rnacentral:rRNA from 1 species
UACCUACAACAUAGCAUUAAUGCAUCAGAUCCCAUUAGAACAACGUGGUUAAGCGCGCUCAGGCUAGAGCAGUAUUGUGAUGGGUGAUCGCCCAGGAAGUCCUAGUGUUUUACGUGC